UGAGCCAUCGCACCCGGCAUGGUCUUUAAAGCUCCAAUGAAAAAUCAUUUUUCUCUCUUACUUAGAAUGGUACCAAACCACCACUGGAUGCAGAUGUAAAUUUGGAAGCAAUUGCUGGUGACCUUCGCUGUGAUUGCUAUACGGGCGCAGAUCUCUCUGCUUUGGUACGAGAAGCUUCUAUCUGUGCCCUGAGACAGGAAAUGGCAAGACAGAAGAGUGGAAAUGAAAAAGGUGAACUCAAGGUUAGUCAUAAGCAUUUUGAAGAAGCUUUCAAGAAAGUAAGAUCAUCUAUAUCAAAAAAGGAUCAAAUCAUGUAUGAACGUUUGCAGGAGUCCCUCAGCCGGUGAUGUCUCCAGCAGCCGGCUUAGAGGAGCUAGCCCAUCAAGCCGGCAGAGAAUCCCCCACACGCUCUGAAGGACCCACUUUCAGCUGGACACAGGCGCGGCCUCAUGUAAACAUUUUAUUUUCAAAUGAAUGAGGCCAAGCUGAAGCUGAAGCUGAAGAUUCUUCCCAUCUGGCCAGCCUUGUGUGAAAAUGCCUUCUUCCUCUUUAAGAAAAAGGACAAUUUUUAAACUGCUGAAAUAAAAUGACUGUUACAUUUUUCAAAUAAAACUUUUACUUUGAACUAUUUUGACUAUA
rnacentral:lncRNA from 1 species